GAUGAACGCUAGCGGGAGGCCUAGCACAUGCAAGCCGAGCGGUAGAGUUCCUUCGGGAACUUGAGAGCGGCGUACGGGUGCGUAACACGUGUGCAACCUACCUUUAUCUGGAGGAUAGCCUUUCGAAAGGAGGAUUAAUACCCCAUAAUAUAUUGAAUGGCAUCAUUUAAUAUUGAAAACUCUGGUGGAUAGAGAUGGGCACGCGCAAGAUUAGAUAGUUGGUGAGGUAACGGCUCACCAAGUCUGUGAUCUUUAGGGGUCCUGAGAGGGAGAUCCCCCACACUGGUACUGAGACACGGACCAGACUCCUACGGGAGGCAGCAGUGAGGAAUAUUGGACAAUGGGUGAGAGCCUGAUCCAGCCAUCCCGCGUGAGGGAUGACGGUCCUAUGGAUUGUAAACUUCUUUUGUACAGGAAUAAACCUAUUUACGUGUAAAUAGCUGAAGGUACUGUACGAAUAAGCACCGGCUAACUCCGUGCCAGCAGCCGCAGUAA
rnacentral:rRNA from 1 species